AUCUCAUGCUCUUUGUUCUAAUUACUAAUAAAAACCCAGCUCAAGAGAGCUCGGGACGCCUGCUUAACAAACCUCUUGACUCCGCGUCUCCUUGAUCCCAACAUCUGGUGACCCCGACGUGAUACACUGGAUCCCGAGGACCCCUGCUCAUCCGACUGGAAUAGUCUAGGUGCACCCGCUGGAAACAGCCACUCGUGGCGGCGUUGGUACACCGAAUAUCCCUGCACAAACCUCAACGGCACAACGGCAUUAUCAGACGACCGAAGUUCUUCCUGCUCCAAAGGUAACCUAUCGUCAGCUACCUGGCCCGGAGUGG